rnacentral:rRNA from 1 species
AACACGUGAGUAACCUGCCCUUGACUCUGGGAUAAGCCUGGGAAACUGGGUCUAAUACCGGAUACGACCAUCUGGCGCAUGUCAUGGUGGUGGAAAGCUUUUGUGGUUUUGGAUGGACUCGCGGCCUAUCAGCUUGUUGGUGGGGUAAUGGCCUACCAAGGCGACGACGGGUAGCCGGCCUGAGAGGGUGACCGGCCACACUGGGACUGAGACACGGCCCAGACUCCUACGGGAGGCAGCAGUGGGGAAUAUUGCACAAUGGGCGCAAGCCUGAUGCAGCGACGCCGCGUGAGGGAUGACGGCCUUCGGGUUGUAAACCUCUUUCAGUAGGGAAGAAGCGAAAGUGACGGUACCUGCAGAAGAAGCGCCGGCUAACUACGUGCCAGCAGCCGCGGUAAUACGUAGGGCGCAAGCGUUAUCCGGAAUUAUUGGGCGUAAAGAGCUCGUAGGCGGUUUGUCGCGUCUGCUGUGAAAGACCGGGGCUCAACUCCGGUUCUGCAGUGGGUACGGGCAGACUAGAGUGCAGUAGGGGAGACUGGAAUUCCUGGGUGUAGCGGUGAAAUGCGCAGA